GGUCGCUUGUUUNNACAAAAACAUGUCUUUUUGUUUAUAAUUUAAAGUCUAACCUGCCCACUGAUUAUUUAUUAAAGGGCCGCGGUAUAUUGACUGUGCAAAGGUAGCAUAAUCAUUUGUCUCUUAAUUAGAGGCUGGAAUGAAUGGUUGAAUGAAAUAUUAACUGUCUCAAUUUUAAAAAUAUAAAAAUUUAGCUUUUAAGUUAAAAGGCUUAAAUAAAUUUAAAGGACGAGAAGACCCUAUAGAUCUUUAUAAUUUAAUUAUAUUAUAAUAUAGAUAAAAAUUUAUUAAUAUAAUAAAAAUUAUUUUAUUGGGGUGAUAGGAAAAUUUAAUUAACUUUUUUUUAAUUUAAACAUUAAUUUAUGAUUAAUUGAUCCAUUAAUAAUGAUUAUAAGAUUAAGUUACCUUAGGGAUAACAGCGUAAUUUUUUUAAAGAGUUCAUAUCGAUAAAAAAGAUUGCGACCUCGAUGUUGAAUUAAAGUAAUUUUCAGAUGUAGAAGUUUGAAUAUUAGGUCUGUUCGACCUUUAAAUCUUUACAUGAUCUGAGUUCAAACCGGACA
rnacentral:rRNA from 1 species